UACGAAGGGGGCUAGCGUUGUUCGGAAUCACUGGGCGUAAAGCGCACGUAGGCGGACUGUUAAGUCGGAGGUGAAAUCCUGGGGCUCAACCCCAGAACUGCCUUCGAUACUGGCGGUCUCGAGUGUGGGAGAGGUUGGUGGAACUCCGAGUGUAGAGGUGAAAUUCGUAGAUAUUCGGAAGAACACCAGUGGCGAAGGCGGCCAACUGGCCCAUUACUGACGCUGAGGUGCGAAAGCGUGGGGAGCAAAC
rnacentral:rRNA from 1 species